CCUACGGGAGGCAGCAGUGGGGGAUAUUGCACAAUGGGGGGAACCCUGAUGCAGCGACGCCGCGUGGGUGAAGAAGCGCCUCGGCGCGUAAAGCCCUGUCAGCAGGGAAGAAAAUGACGGUAUCUGAAGAAGAAGCCCCGGCUAACUACGUGCCAGCAGCCGCGGUAAUACGGAGGGGGCAAGCGUUAUCCGGAUUUACUGGGCGUAAAGGGGGCGCAGACGGGGUUGCAAGCCAGGAGUGAAAGCCCGGGGCUCAACUCCGGGACUGCCCUUGGAACUGCGUGGCUGGAGUGCAGGAGGGGCAGGCGGAAUUCCUGGUGUAGGGGUGAAAUGCGUAGAUAUCAGGAGGAACACCGGUUGCGAAGGCGGCCUGCUGGACUGCAACUGACGUUGAGGCCCGAAAGCGUGGGGAGCAAACAGGAUUAGAUACCCGGGUAGUC
rnacentral:rRNA from 1 species